rnacentral:piRNA from 2 species
UGAGAUCUUCUUUAAUUUCUUUCUUCA